rnacentral:rRNA from 1 species
UACAGAGGGUGCGAGCGUUGUCCGGAAUCACUGGGCGUAAAGGGCGCGUAGGCGGCCUGAUAAGUCGGGGGUGAAAUCUUGCGGCUCAACCGAAAGGCUGCCUUCUAAACUGUCAGGCUGGAGCACGGUAGAGGCAGAUGGAAUUCCCGGUGUAGCGGUGGAAUGCGUAGAGAUCGGGAAGAACACCAGUGGCGAAGGCGGUCUGCUGGGCCGUUGCUGACGCUGAGGCGCGACAGCGUGGGGAGCAAACAGG